rnacentral:misc_RNA from 1 species
UGUGGGAGCGGGCUUGCCCGCGAUGACGGUAUAUCUGGUGAAUUUAUAUCGACUGACAGGGCGCCAUCGCGGGCAAGCCCGCUCCCACA